rnacentral:misc_RNA from 1 species
AACGCACCUUGCGCUCCUUGGCAUUCCGAGGAGCAUGCCUGUUUGAGUGUCAUUAAAUCCUCAACUCUCACAUCUUCCUUGUGUCGAUUGGGUGUUGGACGUGGAAGCUGCUGGCUUGUCUCAAGUCGGCUCUUCUGAAAUUGAUUAGCAGGGCACCACGCUGUGCGGCUUGGUAUUGAUAGUUGUCUUACCAGGUAGCAGAUAGCAAGUUGGUCCAGCUUCGAGCCGUCUCUUUGGAGACAACAUUUGACGAUUUGACCUCAAAUCAGGUAGGACUACCCGCUGAACUUAA